UACAGAGGGGGGCAAGCGUUGUUCGGAAUUACUGGGCGUAAAGGGCGCGUAGGCGGCCUUCUAAGUCGAACGUGAAAUCCCCGGGCUCAACCCGGGAACUGCGUCCGAGACUGGAAGGCUUGAAUCCGGGAGAGGGAUGUGGAAUUCCAGGUGUAGCGGUGAAAUGCGUAGAUAUCUGGAGGAACAUCGGUGGCGAAGGCGGCAUCCUGGACCGGUAUUGACGCUGAGGCGCGAAAGCCAGGGGAGCAAACGGG
rnacentral:rRNA from 1 species